rnacentral:lncRNA from 1 species
CACACACACACUCAUGCAUGUGCACAUGCAUAAACACAUGUUCUCUCUCUCUCACACACACACACAUGCACACACACACUCUCAUGUGCACAUGCACAGACACGUUCUCUCUCUCUCUUACAUACACACUCAUACAUGUGCACAUGCACAGACACAUGUUCUCUCUUUCUCUCUCACACACACUCACACUCAUGUGCAUAUGCACAGACACA